CUACAAAUGAAUUGACGGGGACCCGCACAAGCAGCGGAGCGUGUGGUUUAAUUCGAUGCUACACGAAGAACCUUACCAGGGUUUGACAUGCAAGUGGUAGGAAUCUGAAAAGGGACCGACCCUUCGGGGAGCUUGCACAGGUGCUGCAUGGCUGUCGUCAGCUCGUGUCGUGAGAUGUUCGGUUAAGUCCGCUAACGAGCGCAACCCUCACUGUGUGUUAUAUGUGUCACACGGGACUGCCGGUUUUAAGCCGGAGGAAGGUGGGAUGACGUCAAGUCAGCAUGGCCUUUAUAUCCUGGGCUACACACACGCUACAAUGGUCGGUACAAUAGGUUGCCAAGCCGCGAGGCGGAGCCAAUCCACAAAGCCGGCCUCAGUUCAGAUUGUAGGCUGCAACUCGCCUGCAUGAAGAUGGAGUUGCUAGUAACCGCAGGUCAGCAAUACUGCGGUGAAUACGUUCCCGGGUCUU
rnacentral:rRNA from 1 species